UGUUUCCGAAACUCAAAUCCCCUGCCUGAGUUUGUAAACCAAGGCCUUCUUCUUUGGAAUCAGACAAGUGAGCUUUGUGUGGGAAAAGAAAGACCUAAUACAACCCACCGGAUCGCAAUCAAGGAUCCAAGAUAUAAAUUGGAACGCAGCAUCGUAUGAUAGCCUUAAGAACGCUGAAGUAAUGAGUCCACUGAUCAUCGUCUCCCAUUGUCCCGAGCUGCAUUAUGGAAUGGUGCAGUGAGAAGCAAGAAUGCCCAUUUUGUCGUACACCCAACACCCAUUCGAGUUUAUUUUGUUUGUACAACUCUGAUUUUUAAGCUCAAAUGAAGAUCAACAAGGACACAACAGUGCAAAAAUACAUGAAAAGCAAAGGAAGAUGAUAGGUCCAAAUAGUCCACACCAGCUUCUUUAGUGACAACUUGGGACGAUAACAUAUUCUACAAGAAUGACAUCUGUUUUGUCUUAAGACAUGGAAGUAAGAUCAUCAAGUACUGAGUAGACACCAAGA